UAAGUGCAGAAUAUUAAUAAAAUAUUCUGUAUAUAUUGUGAAAAUUCGAGAUAAAAGUUGCACUUUUUUCAACUUUAAGUGCGAAUAUCUCGAAAACUACAAGUCAGUUGCAGCUAUAUAUAUAUAUAUAUAUAUAUAUAUAUUCUUAAUCUGGAGAACCUCCUCUUUCCAACGAUACCCAUUUUAUUACCGAAAGCCUCGGAUAGUAUAUUAAGUUUUCCUAGUUUGUAUUUUGUCUGAUCUGAUAACAAUGCAAAAAGUUAUAAAAAAACGAAAAUUUUGAGACAAAUGCUUGGUUUUAUUCGCCGAAGGAAAGGAUUAUCAAUUUAAUUGACAAAGUCUUUGAAUACAUUCUGAGGUUCUCCCUAAUGCAUUGAAAGGAAAAUCAAGCACAUUGUAACUUGUCUAAAUAUGUAAAACAAAGACUACCGUCAAAGAUAACAUGAUACGAAACUCUUUCAUUCGUGAGAGAACUCUCAUGUGCUGAACACAUAGAAGACGACAAGCGACGAGCGACAUCUGUCAAAUAUUAAAAUACCCGCGUUCUUAUGGGCACAGAUUUUUUAACAACAGCACGACUUCACGACAAAAGGGUUGAAGACUUCGCUGUCGCCAAAUUAUAAAUGUUUAUAAUUUUGCCGACGACAAUGGCCGGUGUAGAGCUGCCACUAAUAUGUGAAAUGUAAAAUUAUUCAAAGUUCUAACAAGUACGACGUUAUUUUGCCAGCAGAAGCGUAAAAUAGCUUUGAUAUAUCAUUUAUAAUAACAAUGGAUUGUUUAAAGCAAAUAAAUCGAUAUAUUUUUACAUUUUUUGCACAAAAAAUUUCACUUUAAUCUAAAUAUAUAAAUUUUAUUGAAGUGAAAAAUUUUAGUACGGCAACAAUGAAAUUCCUCUUUUAUAUGUCGCUGCCGUCUUCAAAAUGUUCACGACGCUGGCUUCAAAGCGACAUUUGUGAUCAGCAGUCGCUACGUCGUGUCGUGUCGCCGUCUUUGUGUUCAGCACUUCAAAGUCCUCGUUUUUUAUAACAAUUGGCAGUGGUGCCACUGCGAGAAAACAUAAGUUAGGAGAUUUUUAUUCGAUUUCUUGGGUAUUUAUUGGUUUGCAAUUUACACUUAAUAGAGACUUCUUAACCAAUAUUAGGCCAAGACAUAACCUUAUAAAUAUAUACAUAUUUUAAGGUAAACAAUAAACAUCUACACAUAAAAAUAACCAAAUAUUAUAAUAAUUAAAAGUCGUACAUAUUAUAAGUCAACAUAAACAAAAAUUUAGUUUAGUUUAAUUUAGUAACAUAUAUUUAUUUAUAUUUUAUAAACAAAUAAACACCUUAAUAUAUUCUAUAAAAGUUUAAGAGAAAAUUUGUACCCAGAUAUGUAUUUACGUAAAUGGUAUUUAACACUGCUAAAGAAAGUAUAUUACUUUGGUACAAAUAGCCACCGUUUCUUAAAUAAUAUAUACAUAUUAACUCCAUUUAAAUAAAAGUUAAUAAUAAUUCAAAAUCACAAAAAAACUUAUCGUAGAAAAAACGAACUAUUACAUCAUUUAUUUCUGCGGGAUUCUUAGUGGUAACUCGUCAUUUUGACUGUCAGCUGUUCAGUAGCCCAUGAUCUGGAUUUGUUGCAAACAUCAAAAAUGAGUUCAUGGGCUCUCUCAGCAAGCAAAAGAGAAGAGUUUCGUAUCAUAUUAUCCAUGCUACCGUAGACCGAAAAAUACAUUAAGAGAGGCUACUGGCGAACAUGACAGGUUGCUAAUCGCCAGUCGCAAUUUUUUGCAUAUUAUCUAUUACUUUUAACCCUUAUAAUAGUAAUAGUCCCAGCAAGUCAUGGGUACUGAAACUCCAACACAUUCAAAGAAAUUUUAAUAACACCACUACAUAUACAUAUACGCAACAAAGGGUAAAAUGUGCAUAAACAAUUAACUCAACUCUUCUCUCAUACAGCACCCUGAAUGAUAGAAAGAAACAACCAAAGUUCUCGUGUUGGAACAAGUUUUGUUUUGAUUUAUAUCAUGGCUGCUUGUGAAGUAUUAUUUUGCGUGUUUUAUUUAAUUCAGUGAUCUGCAGCCUAAUUAAAGUUUAAAUUAUUGAAGCACGCAUUUUUAAAUAAGUAAAACGUAAAACAAAAGUUUUCUAAAGCCAAAAUAUGGAAUUGAAGAGGGUGGAUACAGUAAAACUUCAUUGCACUGUCAAUUAGAAGCACGCAAUAGAAGCUACGCCAACAAUGGUCAACAUCAAGGGCAAAACCAUUGAAUAUAUAUUUCAAACCUCAUAUGGCGCGUUAAAGGUACGCAAACUUAUUGGUGUCACUUAUGAUAGCAAUGUAGAACUUUCGAAGCGAUGGAAUAUGUGCUGCAAGCAAAUCCAGAACUAUGGAUGCAAACGCUGCUACAUGGAACACAAAUCAUUUACACACCAGAUAUGUAUGUAUUAGGUUUAAUGUCACUUUUUUACGUGCAAUUAAACCUUUUGGUCAACAUAAGCACAAUAAUUGGAACCACAUGGUUUAGGUGAUUUUGUAACUGUUUAUCGUCGCGACGUGUGUCAACUGGGUUUUGCCAAUGAGCUAGAGGGCAAAGCAGAUGCAGUAUUUUUGGACUUACCAGCACCUCAGUUGGCCAUACCAGCAGCUGAAACAUAGAAAUCAGAGGAUAAAUUUAAGUGAAUGUUUGUGAUCAUAGAAAUUUAAAAACUUCUUGUAUGUUCAAUUAGGAGGACUUUUUUGAUUCAUUUUCACCUUGUAUUGAGAAAUCACAACGUUGUUGUAUCGCUUUACAAGGACAGGGAUUCACCGAAAUUAGUUCAAUGGAAAUACUAAUCAUUAUCUUAUAGCAAUUGUAUUGUAUUUCGCGGAUACAAUUUAAAUAAAUUCUCCCCAAAUAUUCUUGAAAAUUCCAAUUAAAAAGGGUAAAUUCACAAUACACUACGCCAACAUGAUUGUGCAAUCAGAAAAAUAUCAAAAUCGUUUUGGUUUUGCUCCAACAGAUUGUGCAACCACACCACAAGUAUAUACACGAUCAAUCAGCUGGCACCAUCAGGUGAUUACGCUAGCAUGCUGGUGUAGUGUAUUGGGCGCUUUACGUUGAUAUCAUUGUAUAGAUCUAUACAAUGGUUGAUAUGUAAUUGAAUUUGUUGAUUUUAAAAGAUUUUUAAAAGUAAAAAAUUUAACAACCCUUAACAAAAAAUCGUAGUGAUGGGCAAAGCUUCAGAAUUCGAAGGACAGUAGUUGAUCGAUUGGUGGAUUUAAGUACAUAUGUAAAUGCUGUUUGAUAUAUCUAUCUUUUAAAUAUAUUUAAAAAUAUACAAAAUAUAGUAAACAACAAAUAAAAUUUUAAUAUUUAACUUACUUCACAAGAUCCAAAGGAUCGUUCCAAUCUAAUUUUCCUUCGAAUUAAUGCGACAUUCAAGCUUUCCUGUCGACUUAUGAAAAAGAUUCACUACUCAACAAAGUUAUUUUUUAAAUUUUAAUGCAAAUAAAUUAUUUUUUCACGUAGUUGUAUUUGUAACCGCACAAUUUGUCACCCACAUUUGAACAAUGUUGUCAAGAACUUUAAAAACAAUUGCCAAAAAACUAAAGGUUGUUAUCUGCGUAUUCUAGGAUACUGGGACAAAUAGCCUAUCGUAAUAUGAAAUCUUGUUUCAGUAGUCAGAGCAACCACAAUGGCGACUAUUAUUCUGUAGCCUUGCACAAUUGGGGUGUAAAUUGGGCCCAAAACUAUCGGUAGAACGUCAUGAAAUUCACACAGAACGUGAUACUUUGACAAAUUUCAACACUGCUGUCGUGAUUGCCAUCUCGAAUGCGCCCAUUACCUCUAUCAUAGUUUUCGUGGAGUAUCUGGGAUUUAAGAAUGCAUGAGCCUUAGUAAAACUAAUCCGCGUUUAUGUUUUUUUGAUAGAAACGUUUUUUUCGGCUGAUGUUCAAUAGAUACGAACAUUGAGGAGUCUUCUAACCCGACCAACAUUGGAAGUGGUUUUACGUGGAGGAGCCUUACGGGAUUAAUUUUUUUAUUCAUGUCUUUGGAUCAUAAUUGACUAAAUUAAUAGCAUUAUAUGCCAUUUUCGGAUAAUAUUUCACUAUUUGUGCGAUUUAAGAUGGUUUUUUUUCGUUUAUAAAGAUUUGUAUCUAAGCACAUUUUUUUCGAAAAAAAAAAAAACAAUACAUUCCCCUUUUUUAAUUUUUAAGAAAAUAAAUUAACACACUUAUACAACUUUCGAUGUUAAAAUGUGAAAUUGUUUAGUGGGCUGUUUCUCUGAACAACUGAAACAACAAAAAAUUAAGUUAUAAUUCUUACGGGACAUAGUUUACCGUUUCACAUUACUCAGGCAAGAAAUAAAGUUUUCACCUUUAUUAGUAAUAAAAAAUAUUUUUAUCAAAUAGCGUGCUAUUUCUCUGUGUAUAGCUGUAUGCAUGUGAGUUGGUAUAUUAAAAAUGGAUUGCUAAACAAAGCAAUUUGUUCCGGUACUUGAAGCCAUCUUGGAUGUACUUUCCUAUUUCCUGUUUGAUAAUUUAUCCAAAUA